GAUGAACGCUGGCGGCGUGCCUAAUACAUGCAAGUCGAGCGAACGGACGAGAAGCUUGCUUCUCUGAUGUUAGCGGCGGACGGGUGAGUAACACGUGGAUAACCUACCUAUAAGACUGGGAUAACUUCGGGAAACCGGAGCUAAUACCGGAUGAUAUUUUGAACCGCAUGGUUCAAAAGUGAAAGACGGUCUUGCUGUCACUUAUAGAUGGAUCCGCGCUGCAUUAGCUAGUUGGUAAGGUAACGGCUUACCAAGGCAACGAUGCAUAGCCGACCUGAGAGGGUGAUCGGCCACACUGGAACUGAGACACGGUCCAGACUCCUACGGGAGGCAGCAGUAGGGGAUCUUCCGCAAUGGGCGAAAGCCUGACGGAGCAACGCCGCGUGAGUGAUGAAGGUCUUCGGAUCGUAAAACUCUGUUAUUAGGGAAGAACAUAUGUGUAAGUAACUGUGCACAUCUUGACGGUACCUAAUCAGAAAGCCACGGCUAACUACGUG
rnacentral:rRNA from 1 species